rnacentral:rRNA from 2 species
GGUUAAGCGACUAAGCGUACACGGUGGAUGCCCUGGCAGUCAGAGGCGAUGAAGGACGUGCUAAUCUGCGAUAAGCGUCGGUAAGGUGAUAUGAACCGUUAUAACCGGCGAUUUCCGAAUGGGGAAACCCAGUGUGAUUCGUCACACUAUCAUUAACUGAAUCCAUAGGUUAAUGAGGCGAACCGGGGGAACUGAAACAUCUAAGUACCCCGAGGAAAAGAAAUCAACCGAGAUUCCCCCAGUAGCGGCGAGCGAACGGGGAGCAGCCCAGAGCCUGAAUCAGUGUGUGUGUUAGUGGAAGCGUCUGGAAAGGCGCGCGAUACAGGGUGACAGCCCCGUACACAAAAAUGCACAUACUGUGAGCUCGAUGAGUAGGGCGGGACACGUGGUAUCCUGUCUGAAUAUGGGGGGACCAUCCUCCAAGGCUAAAUACUCCUGACUGACCGAUAGUGAACCAGUACCGUGAGGGAAAGGCGAAAAGAACCCCGGCGAGGGGAGUGAAAAAGAACCUGAAACCGUGUACGUACAAGCAGUGGGAGCACAGAGCAAUCUGUGUGACUGCGUACCUUUUGUAUAAUGGGUCAGCGACUUAUAUUCUGUAGCAAGGUUAACCGAAUAGGGGAGCCGAAGGGAAACCGAGUCUUAACCGGGCGUUAAGUUGCAGGGUAUAGACCCGAAACCCGGUGAUCUAGCCAUGGGCAGGUUGAAGGUUGGGUAACACUAACUGGAGGACCGAACCGACUAAUGUUGAAAAAUUAGCGGAUGACUUGUGGCUGGGGGUGAAAGGCCAAUCAAACCGGGAGAUAGCUGGUUCUCCCCGAAAGCUAUUUAGGUAGCGCCUCGUGAAUUCAUCUCCGGGGGUAGAGCACUGUUUCGGCAAGGGGGUCAUCCCGACUUACCAACCCGAUGCAAACUGCGAAUACCGGAGAAUGUUAUCACGGGAGACACACGGCGGGUGCUAACGUCCGUCGUGAAGAGGGAAACAACCCAGACCGCCAGCUAAGGUCCCAAAGUCAUGGUUAAGUGGGAAACGAUGUGGGAAGGCCCAGACAGCCAGGAUGUUGGCUUAGAAGCAGCCAUCAUUUAAAGAAAGCGUAAUAGCUCACUGGUCGAGUCGGCCUGCGCGGAAGAUGUAACGGGGCUAAACCAUGCACCGAAGCUGCGGCAGCGACACUGUGUGUUGUUGGGUAGGGGAGCGUUCUGUAAGCCUGUGAAGGUGUGCUGUGAGGCAUGCUGGAGGUAUCAGAAGUGCGAAUGCUGACAUAAGUAACGAUAAAGCGGGUGAAAAGCCCGCUCGCCGGAAGACCAAGGGUUCCUGUCCAACGUUAAUCGGGGCAGGGUGAGUCGACCCCUAAGGCGAGGCCGAAAGGCGUAGUCGAUGGGAAACAGGUUAAUAUUCCUGUACUUGGUGUUACUGCGAAGGGGGGACGGAGAAGGCUAUGUUGGCCGGGCGACGGUUGUCCCGGUUUAAGCGUGUAGGCUGGUUUUCCAGGCAAAUCCGGAAAAUCAAGGCUGAGGCGUGAUGACGAGGCACUACGGUGCUGAAGCAACAAAUGCCCUGCUUCCAGGAAAAGCCUCUAAGCAUCAGGUAACAUCAAAUCGUACCCCAAACCGACACAGGUGGUCAGGUAGAGAAUACCAAGGCGCUUGAGAGAACUCGGGUGAAGGAACUAGGCAAAAUGGUGCCGUAACUUCGGGAGAAGGCACGCUGAUAUGUAGGUGAAGUCCCUCGCGGAUGGAGCUGAAAUCAGUCGAAGAUACCAGCUGGCUGCAACUGUUUAUUAAAAACACAGCACUGUGCAAACACGAAAGUGGACGUAUACGGUGUGACGCCUGCCCGGUGCCGGAAGGUUAAUUGAUGGGGUCAGCGCAAGCGAAGCUCUUGAUCGAAGCCCCGGUAAACGGCGGCCGUAACUAUAACGGUCCUAAGGUAGCGAAAUUCCUUGUCGGGUAAGUUCCGACCUGCACGAAUGGCGUAAUGAUGGCCAGGCUGUCUCCACCCGAGACUCAGUGAAAUUGAACUCGCUGUGAAGAUGCAGUGUACCCGCGGCAAGACGGAAAGACCCCGUGAACCUUUACUAUAGCUUGACACUGAACAUUGAGCCUUGAUGUGUAGGAUAGGUGGGAGGCUUUGAAGUGUGGACGCCAGUCUGCAUGGAGCCGACCUUGAAAUACCACCCUUUAAUGUUUGAUGUUCUAACGUGGACCCGUGAUCCGGGUUGCGGACAGUGUCUGGUGGGUAGUUUGACUGGGGCGGUCUCCUCCUAAAGAGUAACGGAGGAGCACGAAGGUUGGCUAAUCCUGGUCGGACAUCAGGAGGUUAGUGCAAUGGCAUAAGCCAGCUUGACUGCGAGCGUGACGGCGCGAGCAGGUGCGAAAGCAGGUCAUAGUGAUCCGGUGGUUCUGAAUGGAAGGGCCAUCGCUCAACGGAUAAAAGGUACUCCGGGGAUAACAGGCUGAUACCGCCCAAGAGUUCAUAUCGACGGCGGUGUUUGGCACCUCGAUGUCGGCUCAUCACAUCCUGGGGCUGAAGUAGGUCCCAAGGGUAUGGCUGUUCGCCAUUUAAAGUGGUACGCGAGCUGGGUUUAGAACGUCGUGAGACAGUUCGGUCCCUAUCUGCCGUGGGCGCUGGAGAACUGAGGGGGGCUGCUCCUAGUACGAGAGGACCGGAGUGGACGCAUCACUGGUGUUCGGGUUGUCAUGCCAAUGGCACUGCCCGGUAGCUAAAUGCGGAAGAGAUAAGUGCUGAAAGCAUCUAAGCACGAAACUUGCCCCGAGAUGAGUUCUCCCUGACCCUUUAAGGGUCCUGAAGGAACGUUGAAGACGACGACGUUGAUAGGCCGGGUGUGUAAGCGCAGCGAUGCGUUGAGCUAACCGGUACUAAUGAACCGUGAGGCUUAACCUU